UGGGGAAUAUUGGACAAUGGGCGCAAGCCUGAUCCAGCCAUGCCGCGUGGAUGAAGAAGGCCCUAGGGUUGUAAAGUCCUUUCGACGGAGACGAUAAUGACGGUAUCCGUAGAAGAAGCCCCGGCUAAUUUCGUGCCAGCAGCCGCGGUAAUACGAAAGGGGCUAGCGUUGUUCGGAAUUACUGGGCGUAAAGCGCACGUAGGCGGUCGUGUAAGAUGGGGGUGAAAUCCCGGAGCUCAACUCCGGAACUGCCUUCAUGACUGCAUGGCUAGAGGAUGCGAGAGGUUGGCGGAAUUCCGAGUGUAGAGGUGAAAUUCGUAGAUAUUCGGAAGAACACCAGUGGCGAAGGCGGCCAACUGGCGCAUUUCUGACGCUGAGACGCGAAAGCGUGGGGAGCAAACAGGAUUAGAUACCCCCGUAGUCCCUGAGCGGGCUGGCAAGGCGCAU
rnacentral:rRNA from 1 species